GACCAGAGGGACGGGCGGCGUUCGUUUAUCAGAUCGAAUCCAACCCAAUCAGCGCCCCGCCCCCCAGCUGGGGGGGGGGGCGGGGGCGGUUGGCUUUGGUGACUACAUAACCUCUGGCCCAUCGCACUCCUCCCCCACCCCCGUGGCGGCGACGACACAUUCAAACGUCCUCCCUAUCAACUUAUGGUAGUUGCCGUGCCUACCUUGGUGACAAGGGGUGAUGGGGAAUCAGGGUUCGAUUCUGGAGAGGGAGCCUGAAAAACGGCUACCACAUCCAAGUAAGGCAGCAGGCGUGCAAUUACCCACUCCUGAUCUGGGGAGGUAGUGACGAAAAUACCAGGAUUCUUUGAGGCCGUCAUUGGAAUGAGUCCACUUUAAAUCCUUAAAGGUGAAAAAACAAACAAACAAACAAAUAAAUCCUUAAAGGUGGAUCUAUUGGAGGGCAAGUGUGGUGUCUGCAGCAGCUGCGGUAAUUCCAGCUCCAAUAGUUUAUUAAAGUUGCUCCAGUUAAAAAGCUCGUUGUUGGAUCUUGGGAGCGGGCAGCGGUCCUCCGCUAGGGCAGCCACCGCCUGUCCCAGCCUUGCCUCUCGGCGGCCCCUCGAUGCUCUUAGCUGAGUGUCCCCCAGCGCCUGAAGCAUUUACUUUGAAAAAAUUAAUGUUCAAAGCAGGCCCAAGCCGACUGGAUACCGCAGCUAGGAAUAAUGGAAUAGGACCGCGAUUCUAUUUUGUUAGUUUUCGGAGCUGAGGCCAUGAUUGAGAGGGAUGACCAGGGGCAUUUGUAUUGUGCCGCUAGAGGUGAAAUUCUUGUCUGGGCAAGACGGACCAGAACGAAAGCAUUUGCCAAGAAUGUUUUCAUUAACCGAGAACGAAAGUCAGAGGUUCCAAGAUAAGCAGAUACCGUCCUAGCUCCGACCAUAAACGAUGCCGACUGGCGAUGUGGCAGCGUUAUUCCCAUGACCCACCGGGCAGCUUCCAGGAAACCAAAGUGUUUGGAUUCCAGGGCGAGUAUGGUUGCCGAGCUGGAACUUAAAGGCUUGGCGGGGGAUCCCUGGGUGGCGCAGCGGUUUGGCGCCUGCCUUUGGCCCAGGGCGUGAUCCUGGAGACCCGGGAUCGAAUCCCACAUCAGGCUCCCGGUGCAUGGAGCCUGCUUCUCCCUCUGCCUGUGUCUCUGCCUCUCUCUCUCUCUCUCUCUCUGUGACUAUCAUAAAUAAAUAAAAAAUUAAAAAAAAUUAAAAAAAAAAAAAAAAGCUUGGCGGAAGGGCACCACCAAGAGUGGAGCCUGCGGCUUAAUUGGACUCAACACAGGAAAUGUCACCCAACCCGGACACAGAUUGAUAGCUCUUCUCAGUUCCGUGGGUGGUGGUGCUUGGCCAUUCUUAGUUGGUGGAGCAAUUUGUCUGGUUAAUUCCGAUAACAAACGAGACUGUCAUUCUAAGUAGUUACACGACUCCCAAGCGAUUGGCGUCCCCCAGCUCCUUAGAGGGACAAGUGGCAUUCAGCCAACCGAGAUUGAGCAAUAAAUAACAGGUCUGUGUCGCCCUUACAUGUCCGGGGCUGCAUGUGGCUCAGCGUGUGCCUACCUUAUGCCACCCCGGCAUUCAUGAUGGGUAUCGGGGAUGGCAAGGAUUCCUUAUGAACAAGGAAUUCCCGGUAGGUGGGGGGUCAUAAGCUUGCGUUAAGUCCGUGACCUUUGUACACACUGCCCGUCUCUACUACCGACUGGACGGUUUAGUGACGCCUUCCGGAUCGCUCCCCGCCCCCCACCCCCUUGGCCAACGUCCUGGCAGAGUGCUGAGAAGAUGGUCCAACUUAACUAGAGGAAGUAAAAGUCCUAACAAGGUUUCCAUUUGUGAACCUGCAGAAGGAUCAUUA
rnacentral:rRNA from 1 species